GGUGAAGUGGCUGAGUUUAGGCAAUAAAUUGUAAAUUUAUUUACGAAAUGUGAUUUCCUUUACCAA
rnacentral:tRNA from 1 species